rnacentral:rRNA from 1 species
UAAGUUAGAAAGGGCGCACGGUGGAUGCCCUGACACUAGGAGUCGAUGAAGGACGGGACUAACGCCGAUAUGCUUCGGGGAGCUGUAAGUAAGCUUUGAUCCGAAGAUUUCCGAAUGGGGAAACCCACCAUACGUAAUGGUAUGGUAUCCUUAUCUGAAUACAUAGGGUAAGGAAGACAGACCCAGGGAACUGAAACAUCUAAGUACCUGGAGGAAGAGAAAGCAAAUGCGAUUUCCUGAGUAGCGGCGAGCGAAACGGAACAUAGCCCAAACCAAGAGGCUUGCCUCUUGGGGUUGUAGGACAUUCUAUACGGAGUUACAAAGGAACGAGGUAGACGAAGCGACCUGGAAAGGUCCGUCGUAGAGGGUAACAACCCCGUAGUCGAAACUUCGUUCUCUCUUGAAUGUAUCCUGAGUACGGCGGAACACGUGAAAUUCCGUCGGAAUCUGGGAGGACCAUCUCCCAAGGCUAAAUACUCCCUAGUGAUCGAUAGUGAACCAGUACCGUGAGGGAAAGGUGAAAAGCACCCCGGAAGGGGAGUGAAAGAGAUCCUGAAACCGUGUGCCUACAAAUAGUCAGAGCCCGUUAACGGGUGAUGGCGUGCCUUUUGUAGAAUGAACCGGCGAGUUACGAUCCCGUGCGAGGUUAAGCUGAAGAGGCGGAGCCGCAGCGAAAGCGAGUCUGAAUAGGGCGUUUAGUACGUGGUCGUAGACCCGAAACCAGGUGAUCUACCCAUGUCCAGGGUGGAGUUCAGGUAACACUGAAUGGAGGCCCGAACCCACGCACGUUGAAAAGUGCGGGGAUGAGGUGUGGGUAGCGGAGAAAUUCCAAUCGAACCUGGAGAUAGCUGGUUCUCCCCGAAAUAGCUUUAGGGCUAGCCUUAAGUGUAAGAGUCUUGGAGGUAGAGCACUGAUUGGACUAGGGGUCCUCAUCGGAUUACCGAAUUCAGUCAAACUCCGAAUGCCAAUGACUUAUCCUUAGGAGUCAGACUGCGAGUGAUAAGAUCCGUAGUCAAAAGGGAAACAGCCCAGACCGCCAGCUAAGGUCCCAAAGUGUGUAUUAAGUGGAAAAGGAUGUGGAGUUGCUUAGACAACUAGGAUGUUGGCUUAGAAGCAGCCACCAUUUAAAGAGUGCGUAAUAGCUCACUAGUCGAGUGACUCUGCGCCGAAAAUGUACCGGGGCUAAAUACACCACCGAAGCUGCGGAUUGAUACCGAAUGGUAUCAGUGGUAGGGGAGCGUUCUAAGGACAGUGAAGUCAGACCGGAAGGACUGGUGGAGUGCUUAGAAGUGAGAAUGCCGGUAUGAGUAGCGAAAGACGGGUGAGAAUCCCGUCCACCGAAUGCCUAAGGUUUCCUGAGGAAGGCUCGUCCGCUCAGGGUUAGUCAGGACCUAAGCCGAGGCCGACAGGCGUAGGCGAUGGACAACAGGUUGAUAUUCCUGUACCACCUCUUUAUCGUUUGAGCAAUGGAGGGACGCAGAAGGAUAGAAGAAGCGUGCGAUUGGUUGUGCACGUCCAAGCAGUUAGGCUGAUAAGUAGGCAAAUCCGCUUAUCGUGAAGGCUGAGCUGUGAUGGGGAAGCUCCUUAUGGAGCGAAGUCUUUGAUUCCCCGCUGCCAAGAAAAGCUUCUAGCGAGAUAAAAGGUGCCUGUACCGCAAACCGACACAGGUAGGCGAGGAGAGAAUCCUAAGGUGUGCGAGAGAACUCUGGUUAAGGAACUCGGCAAAAUGACCCCGUAACUUCGGGAGAAGGGGUGCUUUCUUAACGGAAAGCCGCAGUGAAUAGGCCCAAGCGACUGUUUAGCAAAAACACAGCUCUCUGCGAAGCCGUAAGGCGAAGUAUAGGGGGUGACACCUGCCCGGUGCUGGAAGGUUAAGGAGAGGGGUUAGCGUAAGCGAAGCUCUGAACUGAAGCCCCAGUAAACGGCGGCCGUAACUAUAACGGUCCUAAGGUAGCGAAAUUCCUUGUCGGGUAAGUUCCGACCCGCACGAAAGGUGUAACGAUUUGGGCACUGUCUCAACCAGAGACUCGGUGAAAUUAUAGUACCUGUGAAGAUGCAGGUUACCCGCGACAGGACGGAAAGACCCCGUGGAGCUUUACUGUAGCCUGAUAUUGAAUUUUGGUACAGUUUGUACAGGAUAGGCGGGAGCCUUUGAAACCGGAGCGCUAGCUUCGGUGGAGGCGCUGGUGGGAUACCGCCCUGACUGUAUUGAAAUUCUAACCUACGGGUCUUAUCGACCCGGGAGACAGUGUCAGGUGGGCAGUUUGACUGGGGCGGUCGCCUCCUAAAGUGUAACGGAGGCGCCCAAAGGUUCCCUCAGAAUGGUUGGAAAUCAUUCGUAGAGUGCAAAGGCAUAAGGGAGCUUGACUGCGAGACCUACAAGUCGAGCAGGGACGAAAGUCGGGCUUAGUGAUCCGGUGGUUCCGCAUGGAAGGGCCAUCGCUCAACGGAUAAAAGCUACCCCGGGGAUAACAGGCUUAUCUCCCCCAAGAGUCCACAUCGACGGGGAGGUUUGGCACCUCGAUGUCGGCUCAUCGCAUCCUGGGGCUGUAGUCGGUCCCAAGGGUUGGGCUGUUCGCCCAUUAAAGCGGUACGCGAGCUGGGUUCAGAACGUCGUGAGACAGUUCGGUCCCUAUCCGUCGUGGGCGUAGGAAAUUUGAGAGGAGCUGUCCUUAGUACGAGAGGACCGGGAUGGACGCACCGCUGGUGUACCAGUUGUUCUGCCAAGGGCAUAGCUGGGUAGCUAUGUGCGGAAGGGAUAAGUGCUGAAAGCAUCUAAGCAUGAAGCCCCCCUCAAGAUGAGAUUUCCCAUAGCGUAAGCUAGUAAGAUCCCUGAAAGAUGAUCAGGUUGAUAGGUUCGAGGUGGAAGCAUGGUGACAUGUGGAGCUGACGAAUACUAAUAGAUCGAGGACUUAACCA